rnacentral:rRNA from 1 species
GUGCCAGCAGCCGCGGUAACUCCAGCGUCCAAUAGCAUAUAUUAAAGUUGUUGCGGUUAAAACGCUCGUAGUUGGAUCUCGAUGUACGGCUUUCCCCCUGCUUCGGCGGGUAAGGAUUGCUUGUACGUCUUCAACGGCUGAAUCCGGGUGCCUUUAAUCGGGCGCUCGGCCUAGGUCGACACGUUUACUUUGAAUAAUUCAAAGUGCUCAAAGCGGGCGACUUGUCGCUUGUAUGCUCAUGCAUGGAAUAAUAGAAUAGGUCUUCGGAUCUGCUCUGUUGGUCUUCGGACUCCGAGGAAAUGAUUAAGAGGGACUGCCGGGGGCAUUCGUAUGGCUCGGAUAGAGGUGAAAUUCUUUGACCCUUGCCAGACGGCCGAAAGCGAAAGCAUUUGCCAAGAAUGUUUUCAUUAAUCAAGAACGAAAGUUAGAGGUUCGAAGGCGAUCAGAUACCGCCCUAGUUCUAACUAUAAACUAUGCCAACCAGCAAUCAGCUGGGGUCGUUUACCGAUUCCAUACUGGACGCUUGCCCGGGAAACCAGAGUUUCUGGGUUCCGGGGGGAGUAUGGUUGCAAAGCUGAAACUUAAAGGAAUUGACGGAAGGGCACCACCAGGAGUGGAGCCUGCGGCUUAAUUUGACUCAACACGGGGAAGCUUACCCGGUCCGGACACUUUUACGAUUGACAGAUUGAGAGCUCUUUCUUGAUAAAGUGGUUGGUGGUGCAUGGCCGUUCUUAGUUCGUGGAGUGAUUUGUCUGGUUAAUUCCGAUAACGAACGAGACUCUAGCUUACUAAAUAGUCUACCCGGAUGCGUCCGAGGUAGAACUACUUCUUAGAAGGAUUUGUGGCGGUUCAGUCAUAAGAAAGAGAGCAAUAACAGGUCUGUGAUGCCCUUAGAUGUCCGGGGCCGCACGCGCGCUACACUGGAGCCCACAGUGAGCGUGCUACUUGCUUCGAAAGGAGUGAGGAAUCUCGUAAGCUUCUCCGUAUCUGGGAUUGCGGCAUGUAAUUGUGCCGCGUGAACGCGGAAUCCCGAGUAAGUGCUGAUCAUCAUUCCGCAUUGAUUAAGUCCCCUGCCCUUUGCACACACCGCCCGUC